rnacentral:tRNA from 1 species
UCCCUGGUGGCUCAAAUGGUAAAGAACCUGCUUGCAAUACAGGAGACCUGGGUUCAAUCCCCGGGUUGGGAA